GACGAACGCUGGCGGCGCGCUUAACACAUGCAAGUCGAACGAGAAGCCCGGGCUUGCCCGGGUGGACAGUGGCGAACGGGUGAGGAACACAUGAGGAACCUGCCCCGAAGACUGGGAUAAGCCGAGGAAACUUGGUCUAAAACCGGAUACGUUCAUCGAACCGCAUGGUUUGAUGAAGAAAUAGAUUCUGCUUCGGGAUGGCCUCGUGGCCUAUCAGCUUGUUGGUGGGGUAANGGCCUACCAAGGCGGCGACGGGUAGCUGGUCUGAGAGGAUGUCCAGCCACAUUGGGACUGAGACACGGCCCAGACUCCUACGGGAGGCAGCAGUGGGGAAUCUUGCGCAAUGGACGAAAGUCUGACGCAGCGACGCCGCGUGCGGGAUGAAUGCCUUCGGGUUGUAAACCGCUUUCAGUAGGAACGAUGGUGACGGUACCUACAGAAGAAGCUCCGGCCAACUACGUGCCA
rnacentral:rRNA from 1 species